rnacentral:rRNA from 1 species
GACGAACGCUGGCGGCGUGCUUAACACAUGCAAGUCGAACGAUGAAGCGCAGCUUGCUGCGUGGAUUAGUGGCGAACGGGUGAGUAACACGUGAGUAACCUGCCCUCCACUCUGGGAUAACUCCGGGAAACCGGUGCUAAUACUGGAUAUGACACCUUCCUGCAUGGGUUGGUGUGGAAAGAUUUAUCGGUGGUGGAUGGACUCGCGGCCUAUCAGCUUGUUGGUGGGGUAAUGGCCUACCAAGGCGACGACGGGUAGCCGGCCUGAGAGGGUGACCGGCCACACUGGGACUGAGACACGGCCCAG